CUGGUCGUAGCUCAGCUUGGCCAGAGCGCCCGCUUUGGGAGCGGGAGGACGCGGGUUCGAAUCCUGCCGACCAGA
rnacentral:tRNA from 1 species